rnacentral:rRNA from 1 species
GAUGAACGCUAGCGGCAGGCUUAAUACAUGCAAGUCGAGGGGCAGCAUGGUUGUAGUAAUACAACUGAUGGCGACCGGCAAACGGGUGCGGAACACGUACGCAACCUACCCAUAACUGGGGAAUAGGCCGGGGAAACCCGGAUUAAUACCUCGUAACCUUAUGAAGUGGCAUCGCUUUAUAAGUAUAGCUUCGGCGGUUAUGGAUGGGCGUGCGCCUGAUUAGGUAGUUGGCGGGGUAACGGCACACCAAACCUGCGAUCAGUAACUGGUGUGAGAGCGCGACCAGUCACACGGGCCCGGAGAGACGGGCCCGACGCUUACGGGAGGCAGCAGUAAGGAAUAUUGGGCAAUGGACGCAAGUCUGAACCAGGCAUGCCGCGUGAAGGAUGAAGGUCCUCUGGAUUGUAAACUUCUUUUAUAGGGGAAGAAAUCUGAAUAUUCCUAUUCAGUUGACGGUACCCUAGGAAUAAGCACCGGCUAACUCCGUGCCAGCCGCCGCUGUAAGAC